rnacentral:misc_RNA from 1 species
AACUUUUAACAACGGAUCUCUUGGCUCUCGCGUCGAUGAAGAACGCAGCGAAAUGCGAUAAGUAAUGUGAAUUGCAGAAUUCAGUGAAUCAUCGAAUCUUUGAACGCAUCUUGCGCUCCUUGGUAUUCCGAGGAGCAUGCCUGUUUGAGUGUCAUUCAACUUCUCAACCACAUUCGUUCAUUGAUUGUGGCUUGGAUGGUGGGGGUUUAUUUGCAGGCUUCUUCUGUGAAAACAGAAAGGUCGGCUCCCCUGAAAUGUAUCAGUGGUAUCUGAGGCUAUUGCUAUAGGUGUGAUAAUUAUCUAUGCCCUUGGUAUGCCGCAUGGAACUGCUUCCAACAGAGAUGAUCUUUUUGAUGAAUUUGACCUCAAAUCAGGUAGGACUACCCGCUGAACUUAAGCAUAUCAAUAAGCGGAGGCU